rnacentral:misc_RNA from 1 species
GAUGAAGAACGUAGCGAAAUGCGAUAAGUAAUGUGAAUUGCAGAAUUCAGUGAAUCAUCGAAUCUUUACACGCACAUUGCGCCCAUUAGUAUUCUAGUGGGCAUGCCUGUUCGAGCGUCAUUAAGUCCACUUAAGCCCUGCUUAGUGUUGGGAGACUGCUCCAGCGGUGCUACCCUGUAGCUACCCUGCAGCUCCUCAAAGACAGCGGCGGAGUUGUGGUAUCCUCUGAGCUUAGUAACUUGUUCUAGCUUUCGAGUACACCACUUCCCCUGCCGUAAAACCCUUAAUUUUUAAUGGUUGACCUCGGAUCAGGUAGGAAUACCCGCUGAACUUAAGCAUAUCAAUAAGCGGAGGA